GCCGGGCAGAUGGUGACGGAGGGCUUCCUGAACCUGCGGCUGCGCCCGGUCACCCGUGCGCUGAUCACCCGCGGCGCCUCGCUGAUCCCGGC
rnacentral:snoRNA from 1 species